UGAUUGAUUUAAAGGAACUUAAACAUUUGU
rnacentral:piRNA from 1 species